UGGGCCGCACGCGCGCUACACUGACGGAGCCAGCGAGUAUAAACCUUGGCCGAGAGGUCUGGGAAAUCUUGUGAAACUCCGUCGUGCUGGGGAUAGAGCAUUGUAAUUAUUGCUCUUCAACGAGGAAUUCCUAGUAAGCGCAAGUCAUCAGCUUGCGUUGAUUACGUCCCUGCCCUUUGUACACACCGCCCGUCGCUACUACCGAUUGAAUGGCUUAGUGAGGCUUCCGGAUUGGUUUAGAGAAGGGGGCAACUCCAUCUUGGAACCGAGAAGCUAGUCAAACUUGGUCAUUUAGAGGAAGUAAAAGUCGUAACAAGGUUUCCGUAGGUGAACCUGCGGAAGGAUCAUUACAGAAUGAAAAGUGCUUAACUGCAUUUUUUCUUACACAUGUGUUUUUCUUUUUUUGAAAACUUUGCUUUGGUAGGCCUUCUAUAUGGGGCCUGCCAGAGAUUAAACUCAACCAAAUUUUAUUUAAUGUCAACCGAUUAUUUAAUAGUCAAAACUUUCAACAACGGAUCUCUUGGUUCUCGCAUCGAUGAAGAACGCAGCGAAAUGCGAUAAGUAAUAUGAAUUGCAGAUAUUCGUGAAUCAUCGAAUCUUUGAACGCACAUUGCGCCCUUUGGUAUUCCAAAGGGCAUGCCUGUUUGAGCGUCAUUUCUCCCUCAAACCCUCGGGUUUGGUGUUGAGCGAUACCCUGGGUUUGCUUGAAAGAAAGGCGGAGUAUAAACUAAUGGAUAGGUUUUUUCCACUCAUUGGUACAAACUCCAAAACUUCUUCCAAAUUCGACCUCAAAUCAGGUAGGACUACCCGCUGACUUAGCCUAUCAAUAAACCGGAGGAAAAAAAAACCCACAGGGGAUUGGCCUUUAUUAACCGCCAAAUGGAAACCGGCCAAAAACCUCCAAAAUUUGAAAAUCUGGGGCACCUUUUCC
rnacentral:rRNA from 1 species